AAUAAUUUUUUAGUUUCUAUUUUGAAAACAAAAGAGAAAAGUGGUCUGCAGGAAAUUCCAGUCCUGAAGAGAACCGAAGAGUGAGCUCUCGCUUAGUUCGUGGUGGGCGGCUUCAGCUGACGAUUGCUAAGCCUCUGGCUUUCAACGACGCCUUUUGAAUCCCAAUCAUCGCCACCGCCACCACCAAACUCACAUACCCAGUGCGCUUCUCCUCCAUUACUCACCAUUUCUCAACCUUUUCAUUCUUCAUCAUUUUCCUUUCUGUUAUACGAAAAAGGAAGGAUAUUGGGUGGGCUUGGGAAAACUUAUAAGUGCAAGCCUGAGCUGAAUAGUUUGCAGUGGGUUUUCGUUGCUUGAUUUGGCUGCUAUCUUUGUUGGUGUUCAAGAUUUCACGUUAUUGUUUAUUCUUUACUUGGUUUUCUUCAGAAUCUUCAGAAAUGGAACGGCCAUUUGCUUCAGACUUUUGGCUCAAAUGGCGAUAGAAACAGUCCGAGGCUUGUGGUUUGUGGGUGUGCUCUGCUAAUUCAAGGACAGUGCAAGAACUUGUCACCAUCUUUAUGUAGUGAAGCAUAUGAAACUUCUCCAGGCUUAUUCAAAUUCUCAAAACCAUCUAAUGUUCAAGGUAGUCUAGAGUUUGGACUCAAGUCAGGAAGGUGCAGGCUUUUUCUACCUUGAAUCAAAUUUUUGGUCAGUGAUUUUGAAGUUGUCAAAGGAUCUGGGAAGGUUUCUCUAGAAGCUACCAACUAUCAGGUGUCAAGGAAACUGAUAAGAGAGGUAAAGAGUCUACAUCAGAGCUUGUAGUUGUACAUCUUGAAAAAGACAAAAAAGUUACCUUAAUUUUCUAGUUACCUUAAUUUUCUUAUAUGCAUUAAAAUUUGGAUAGUAUAGCUUUAUGCAAAUAGUCUGCAAACUGUUAGUCAAACUCAAAUGGAGUAAAGCCCAUACAGGUUAGUAACCUUUUAAAAAAAUUCACUCAGAAAAUGAUAAUAUAUCCUUUACCCUUCUACAUUCCUUAAAGAGAAGCAUGUUACAUUUUCAAGCAUGAGCAAAUUUAGAGAAAUCCUUUUGGUUAAACUUUCAGCUGUUUUAUGACCAAUUUCAGGCUAUCACCUGGACUAGAGUGUGGGAGUAAGGUGUAGGUGUGAGUUUGGGUGCAUUUUUAGGAGUAGCAUUUGCAUAAUUUUAAUAUCUUAGAAUAUAGUAACUUGCUAAAAAAAUGUCAUAGUAUAGAUUGGAUACUUAGAUGUGCUGCUUCAAAAUUUGUGUUUAGUGAUUUUUGGAGUUCAUGGACAGUAUGUUGGCAGUAAUAGAGUGCGACCAUGGGAAUUGGGUAUUGGGUGUUGUCUUCAAUUUCAAUUGAUGUAGAACCAGUAGAUUUUCAAUAUUGUUGAAAAAAUUCAAUUCCUGAAAGCAAAAAAUAUUGGGCUAUAAAGUCUAUAAAUAAACCAGAAUUGAUUCAAACAAAACGCAUAAAAGUGUUAAACAAUAACAAAAACAAACUCCAUAUUAAAUUCAAAAUUUAAAAUAAAAAAAAUAAAAAAAACUGAACGGUUUGGAGCGAAAGCGAGAACAUAACUACACAAUUUGAAAACAAAGACUUAAAAAAGGUCAAGAAAGCUACAAACUCCAUUUUGAGAAAGCACCUAUAAAUUCUAUUAUUGAAUUUCUGCUAAACUUGUCUACCAUUAAUUUUAAAAGAAUAUAUAGUUAAGUAGCACCCAGCAUUAGGUAAUCACAUUUUACACCACUCAAUAAUGCUACUCUAUCCAGUUCGCCCCUCAAAACUUCAAAACUCUUCACAUUGGCCCCUUAGCUAUUAUUUUCAUUGAAGUUUACUCCAGUCAUACAAUUUUUCUUAAUAAAUUUGGAAAAAUUAGCCUUGCAUACUAAGUAAAAUAAGAUAGAGUAAAACAGUUUCUAAAAAAAUUACAUGAGUUUGUAAAUUUUUAAUUUCAUUAAAUUCAUCAUUCAAAAUACAUGGUUGGACUUUACUGGUAGAAAGGUAAUGGUUCAGAGGCAAGGUGAGGGGUUCUAUAGUUCAGGAAGCAAUGUAAUAUAUCAUAGUUAGGAGGAUAAAAUGUAAUUAUCCAACCAAAAAAAAAGAAAAAAAAAAGGAAAAAAAAAAAAAAAACCA